rnacentral:rRNA from 1 species
UACGUAGGGUGCGAGCGUUAAUCGGAAUUACUGGGCGUAAAGCGUGCGCAGGCGGUUUUGUAAGCCAGAUGUGAAAGCCCCGGGCUUAACCUGGGAAUGGCAUUUGGGACUGCAAGGCUUGAGUGCGGCAGAGGAGACUGGAAUUCCUGGUGUAGCAGUGAAAUGCGUAGAGAUCGGGAGGAACAUCUGUGGCGAAGGCGGCCAUCUGGACCAGCACUGACACUGAGGCACGAAAGCGUGGGGAGCAAACAGG